CGCCUUGGACCCAGCCAUCUUCUCCUCCACGGUACUUUCUCCACCCAGUACGGCAGUACCCCAGGUCGACCUCCAUGGCGCGCGGCAACUCAAGCGCUGGCUCUCUCCCUCCCUUCAACACUCCAGGGCCACCGGCCCCUGCGCCUCCCUCUACUCCACAUGGCCAGCAUGGCAGCCGGACGCUGAGAUCCAUGGCGAGCUCCUCGCGCCGUCUACUUUCCUCAUCGGCCGUGACUUCUCGACGCUCGUCCUCAAGCCCGGCCGUGUCGGUCGUCCCUGACCCCACCUUGGUGCAGCGCUACCAGCCGCCAUGACGUCGUCAUCUUCGUCGCCGAGCCAGACGCCGCCACUGUCCAUACCUGUUGCCAUGGUGGAUCGAAGGGUCCCGUCUUGCCCCUCUGCUCGGCUUCCUGCUCCCACGUCCGUUUCACCCGUCGGCAGAGGGCUUCGGCACUCCAAUCCUUGGUAUGGAUCUUCCCCAUCUAGUUCACUUGCUCACUGCGGCGUGUAGAACAUUUUUGUUUGGUAUCUGGGUUGCCGGUCAGAGUUACCCGAUGAACUUGCCGCCAUGGGUGCUCUGCUCCGCCAUGUCUACUGGAGGGGAGAACACGAGUGCCGUUGAUUAGAUAGGAAAUGGUCGUGAUCAAAUCAAGGUUUACAUGACCGUCAUGGCCGUAGAUCGGUAAACGGACGGUCGAGAUUAACUAGUGGCGCGUAUCGAUUCGGUGUAGUGGGGAGCCGUCCGAUCUUGAUCGGAGGGGUGCGCUCAGGUAUUGUUUAUUUAAAUCUGGUCCGUAGAUCUCGGGAUCAAAAGCUGUUGUGCGUACCCGUUCACAUGAAACUCUAUCUAAUCUGGACCGCUCAGAUCAGAUCUUGCGGCCAGGGAUCACAGAUACCCCUUUGCCCGAACCAUUUGUCACAUGAGCCCCUCGAUUUCUAUAAAAAUAACCCGCAGUACGACUGAGUCUGGUAGAUUUUACAGAAUAAACCUUAUGCUUCUUGGUAUUGGUGCACGUAGUCCAGGAAAUAAUGAAAAUAGGAAAAAGGAAUUUAGAAAUUGAUUUUGGGUAUAAAAAUAAUUACAUAAACUCAUUUAAUUCAUAGAAAAUUCAUAUUAAAUCCUUUUUGAUCCAUUCCUGUGGCAUUAAUUUUAUUUUAAUGUUGUUUAUCACCUAGCAACUUUGUUUAGCCAUGAAAUUUGAAUUAAAAUUAUUCACUAGAUUUAUUCUAUAUUAAACACUUAAAACUUGUAAAUCCCUAACUCCUUCGUUUUAACUCCGAUUUGAUCCGUUCAAGUUGCGUUAGUCUCGUAUAAAUAUUUAAUAUGCAAUAACCAUAUUUAUUAUACCUUGUCUCAUUAUUUUAUAAUUAGAUCUGUAGUUAACUGAUGUUAGUUAGUCUGGUUAAACUGCUUAUCACUAUUGACUACGAGAAUAUGAUCUAUGGUCAAUUUAUAACUUAAAUUAAAGUUUAUAUAGUUAUUUAUAGAAUAACCUCUCUUAUGAAUUAUAUUAACCAAUUUAUAAUACAGUUUAAUAUUUUAAUCAUACAGAUCUUUUAUAAAAUCAUAACUCCUUAAUCGUAACUUUGAUUUUAGUGGUUCUUGAUCCCUCGAUCUCGUAGCGACGCGUAGAUUAUUAUUAUUCAGUUUGUACUUAUGUUUGAUGUGAUGUUAAUUUUGUCUAUACCAUGUCUGUUUGUACUGCUACGACUAGCAGCGAGGUUUCGAGUCACCUAAAGUUCAUCCUGUCACCUGGAAUCUCAAGUGUCAGGCAAGUUGUGCCCUUGAUCACUUCUUUUACCCAUUCAU
rnacentral:lncRNA from 1 species